rnacentral:rRNA from 1 species
UAUCCCACCUGGGGAGUACAGCCGCAUAGGUUGAUACUCAAAGGAAUUUACGGGGGCCCGCACAAGCAGUGGAGUAUGUGGUCUAAUUCGAAGCAACGCGAAGAACCUUACCAGGGCGUGACAUCCCUUGAACUAUCUAGAGAUAGGUAGGGCCUACGGGACAAGGAGACAGGUGGUGCAUGGUUGUCGUCAGCUCGUGUCGUGAGAUGUUGGGUUAAGUCCCGCAACGAGCGCAACCAUUAUAGCUAGUUGCCAGCAAUUAGAUGGGGACUCUAGCGAGACAGCCGUCGCGCAAACGGAGGAAGGAAAGGAUGACGUCAAAUCAUCAUGCCCCUUAUGCUCUGGGCUACACACGUACUACUAUGGCUACUACAGAGGGAAGCGAAGCCAGGAGGCGGAGCAAAUCUCAAAAAGGUAGUCCCAGUUCAGAUUGUAGGCUGAUACUCGCCUGCAUGAAGUAGGAAUUGCUAGUAAUUGCAGCUCAGCCUGCUGCAGUGCAUACGUUCCCGGGCCUUGACACACCGCCCGUCACACCAUGAGAGUCUGC